CCCUCAUCCCCGUCUCUAAAACAAUGCCCACAAUGCACUAGCGCACACGUGUUUGCCCUUCAGCCCUUGUCUCGAAGUUCACGGGCCUCGGGGCGCUCAGCCAACUCUCUGGGGUUCCGAAGCCUUAUUUCUCCCAGCGAGUGGACAUUUCCAUACUAAAGCUGCGAGGAGUCAUCCUCCUUCGACUGAGAAGGGAGAAAGACCCGGCCAACUGAAACAUUUGAGUGUGGAAACAGGAAGAGUCAUCAUGGACCUGUUAAAGACUUUGGAGGUUGGCCGGUGGCAAGAGGUCAUGUUAUUUUCACUACCGAUCCGUCCCCAGUAUUGCAGAAAUCUAAAUGGAAAUAAUGGAAGAGAAGAAAAGAAAAGCAUAAUGUGCAUCUUAAAUUAGGAGAGAGGAAAAAAACACCAAAAAAGAGAAUUAAAGGCAUUUUACUCAAUUCAUGCACUAGCUUUUUAUUUUAUUUUUUAAAUCAAAAUUAAAAUUUAUUUUUUAAAAUAAAAUUUUGUUUUCUCCCA